rnacentral:lncRNA from 1 species
CUGUGCAGGGGAAUAACCUCAUUUCUUUCAUUGUUCCAUUUCCAGGACAUCGUUCUGAACAUCACCCCAUCAGUCUCUGAUGGCAAACUGCAAACCUCCCUGGCUCUUGACAGCAUCAACCCGACACGGUUUCCCCAAAGCCUUGAUGCUGCCAGUGCCUCCUCACUGGCAGAAUGGCUCAAGAAGGUCCUCACAGCUGUUUAUGUACCUUCUGUUCAAG